GGCCCCCUUCUUUUUUGCCUUCAAUCUUUCCAAGCAUCAGGGUCUUUUCCAGUGAGUCAGCUCUUCACAUCAGGGGGCCAAAGUAUUGGAGCUUCAGCUUCAACGUCAGUCCUUCCAGUGACUGGAUCCUAGAAGGUCAGUGUUUAGGCAAAAAGAAUGUCAGUGUUGGCAUAAAGAAUGCCAACCUUGAGUUUGGUGAAUUGGAAGGGCAGUUUUCAUAGUCACAUGUUAGUAAACUCAAGGUAUCACUUUAAAGACAACUUAAAGGUGACUGCAAUCCUUGAGCUAACUUUCCAUGUUAAACUAGUUUGGACCCAGAUGCAGAGACUAACGAUCAGAUCAUUUAAACACAGAAUAAGACCAGCCACAAAUAGUAACACUUGGAUGCCUGACUCAUAGAUGUGAGCAAGAAUUAGUAAUUACUUUGAAUGGUUGGAAGAUCCCAGAGGAAAAUUUGGGAAACUCUUCAUUCCCUUUUGCCCUGUACACAGAAUUCUUAGUACAAAUACCUGGCAACAUCAAGAUACAGGUGCGGAUUUGGAAUAUCUGAAGCCUCACUUUGGUUUCUUUGUUUUUCAACUGAAUCUCAUUCUAUUGAGGUUCAAGAUCAAAUACUUGCAUUUUAAUGUAACAUUUGCCAAAUUUCCAAACCUCUAAGCACAAAAUCCUCAACCCUCCUUUCUUUGCUUGCCUGGAAAUCUAGGUAGCACUGAGCCAAGAGUAGGAGUUAUGAAGUGAGAUUACACUUGAUUAGGAACAAAAAAAGUCCUAUGUCCAGAAAUGCAGAUGUGCACAGCAGUCCUAGGGGAAUGUUGGUAUUUGAUCUCCUCGUCUUAAAGGUUCAUGUUCCCAAGGUUAAGAGAUGCAGAGAGCCAACUUUUAUUUGUAACUAAUGCUGAAAUUACUCUGGAGAUUCUAGAAGUAUUACAUUACAAAUCACACAGCUUUGGAAAUCCUACAACUCGUGAGUUACAAAUAUCACUGUGUGAGAGAAAGGGGCAAUAAGUGAAGGACAGCAUUCAUAAGCUUAAUUUAUACCAUAGCAGCAUGAUCAUGAAUAUACUGUAUGAGAGUUUUCUUCUCAGUGAGAAAAAGAAAAGAGAGCCUAGGAAGUCCAUGAGUCAAGACCCAGCUAAAAGAACCAGGAAGUAAAGGCCUCCUUGUCUAGGGGAAUCUGAGUGGGGGAGGGGGAGCCACAGUCAACGGGCUGCAAUAUCCUCCUUUUUCUAAUAUCUAACUUCAUGACCUGGAUCAGGUUGCUUAUUUAUUGAGUAAGGCUUCCAUUUGCGUAAAAGGUAAAGUAUAGGUAUUUACAAAAUAAUAUCUUUUAACAAGCUUGGCACCAAUGGCCAUCUGUGAAAGAGAUAACAUAUAACAGUUCGCCUCAAGAGGGGAACUUCAGUGGAACCAAAUUCAGUAUUAAAAUCAAGAAUAGUUAGAGACAUUUAUAUAUCACACAGUUGCCUGGGUGUUUUUUUUUUUUUUUAACCUUAAUAAACUGUUUUCCUGUAAUAGGCACUUGGCAUUAUCUGGUAUUAACUAAUUGGACUUCCUUUUUGGCUUGACCUUUCUUAUUUUAAACUAGAUGGUGAUCUAGUUCUUUGUAUUUUCAAUGACUUUAAGCCCAAAGACAAAGAAAAGAUAGAUAAAUCUGUAUCUUGGUUACAGGAGUAAAUUAUUCUAGGCAAAAUUACACCUGUUUCACUUUUCACCAAUGGAAUCUACUACUCGAUGUGUGUGUGUGUGUGUGUGUGUGUAUGUUUCACUGUGAGGUUAAUCUGCCCUUGCCAUGAAACGUUUUAAUAAUUAAAUCCACUUAAAUCAUCACACCUUGAGAAACAUUUUUAGAGUGAUUCUAAGGCAUGACCUUAAAAAGAGAGCUAGAAUUUGGAAUAUAGUGCAUAAUUUAUAUAAUUUUUGGCUUCCCAGGUGGCACUAGUGGUAAAGAAUCCACCUGCCAGUGCAGGAGACACAGGAGACAUGGGUUCGGUCCCUGAGUCAGGGAGAUCCCCUGGAGGAGAGCAUGGCACCCACUCCAGUAUUCUCACCUGGACAAUACCAUGGACAGAGGAUCCUGGCAGGCUACAGUCUAUGGGGUCACGAAGUGUCAGACACAACUGAGCACAUACAUACCCAUAUAUAACUGAUGUACAACAUGUAAAUGUAUGAUAGAUUUUAAGUGAACAGAAUAUACAUAAUAUUUCAGAAAUAAAACACCCCACACAUAUCACCUACCUUACACUAAUAAAUGCAAAUUCAGGUUGUACCAUCUGAACAGCUACUACUUCACUCAUCCUCACUAAUGAUAUUUUUCAGAUCUUGGAUUUUGAUAGAUGCACUGUGGAAUGUAGAAAUAAUCAUCAUUUAGGUAACUGAAAAGUAGCUUGCCAAAACUGAUAUAAUGAAUGUUAUUUAAGAUGUUCUGUCAAAAUCCUUUCCAAUUAGUGUUGAGGUCUUGAAGGGCCAGGCUUGGCUUUUUAUUAAUAUGUUCAGUUUAUUAAUGUAUUUUUGAUAUAUGCAUAGCGUGACUAUCUAAAACAUGUCAUGAUAUUGCAUAAUUAUGGUGCUUUUAAUUUGUUGUACCCAAGUUUAUUUUCCAGUCUUAUUUAAAAUUCAAAAUUACUUCAUAGUUUCAUAACUAAUAACUCAUUAGGAAGCUGUGCCAGGUACUUAAGGUUACCUCUAAGGCAAUGCAUAUUUAACAAUAAACUAGAGAAGUUCUUGACUACUUGACUGUCAUUGACCAGUUUAAAUAUUUAAAGUUAUCAUCUGACCCUUUGUCUAACCACUUUUAGAAAAUGAAACAGUUUGUGUAUAAAACAUAGAAAAGGGAAGUCCUUUCACAGUCUUUUCUAAAAUGAAGAAAACUAGCUAUCAGUAAUCAAAAACUUAGAUAACACUUACAUAUGUGUGUGUAUGUGUGUGUGUGUGUAUAUGUAUAUGUAUAUGAUACCAUACUGACCAUGUAUUAUUUUUAGAUUAAAGGACCCAUUUUUUCUUUUUCUUGUUAUUUUUUGAUAAGACAUAGACAUUUAAGCAUGUCAUUCUACUGUGAUCGGGUUCAGAUUCGUUGUCAGUCACCUUAAUAAUUUUGCAUUCCUAUCUGUCUCUCUGUUAUAUCUUAAAAAAGACAGCAUUUGACUUGUCUCUGUUCCCCUCCAAAUGAUGAGAAAUUGAGCAUAGUUAAAAAUGAUAACGGUUCAACUCCUUGCUUAUUGAGGUGUGUCCUAUCUACAUUAUUUAGACCUUGUCUCGAAAUCUAAUAAGUAGCUGAAUGAUAAUUAAAAAUAAUCCAGCAUAAUGCUUUGCUUAUAGUGGUGUGAUUUAACUAAUGUCUAUUCAGUAUCUGUGUAAUAAAAAUAGUUCUAGGUUCAAUAGGGACCCAAACCUGGGUGAUGUGGAAGAUACUUCAUAUAAGUCAAUGAGAUAAUUAAGGUCUCUUUUCUGAUGCUGUCUUGUUUAGCAUUCUUAGAUUCAGGAGGACAGCCCUUCUAUCUAAUUUAAAUGAAAAGAGAUUUGUUAGAGUGUGUAUAGAGUCCUUGCGGAAAAUGGUAAAAUUCUUUUGAAUGCUUCAGGCCAGCAGAAGAGACCCAUCAGACUCCCCUGGGACUGCUCACUGCUGCAGUCUUACACCGAGUGGCACCCAGGCUACAGGAACCCGAUUCCAUAGUCCCUUCCAGAACUUUCCCAGAAGAGCCAAAUGCAACUGCUUCCCUACACACACACACUCUUAGAGAAGUGCCUGUUAGCUCCCAUGCAAGUUCCUCGUUGUUCCCAUCCCAUUGCCAAGUCUUGCACAGGCAUCUGCCUUGCAGAACCUAGGCAAUGUCUGAAAACUGGUUGCAAGAGAAUCUCGAAAAUGUAGUUCUUAGGUUUCUAGCCUUCACAGUCAAAGAAAGCGGUUAGAAGGGAUCCGAAAGUGUAUGGAAUGAGCCAGUGUUCACUACCCCUCAGGCAUGUUCUGAAAUAGUGAUUCUCCAGCUGUGUUCCAAGGAAUCCUAAAAUUCUGCGUAUGUACCUAAAGGUUGCCAAGGAGGAAGAGAAGACCAGACAGGCAGGACUCCUAUCUAAAGCAGCUCCAGAGUAAUCUGGUCAUCUGUUGGGGAUGUCUAUAGUCCUUUGAAAAAAGUUUUUUCUGAAAAAAUAAGGUUUUCCCCCCGCCCAAGUUUUGAAACUGCUGCUGCUCCCAAAUACAGGCAGACCUCAGAUAAUGUAGGUUUGAUUCUAGACCACCACGAUAAAGAGACUCACGUGAAUUUUUUGGUUUCCCAGUGCAUAUAAAAAUUAUGUUUACACUAUUCUGUAGUCUCUUCAGUGUGUAUUAGCAUCAUGUCUUUUAAAAAAUGUACAUACAUAAUUUAAAAAUGCUUUAUUGCUUAAACUUGCUAACCAUCAUCUGAGCCUUCAUCAAGUCAUAAUGGUAACCGAAAAGAUCACUAAUCACAGUUCUCCUUAACAAAUAUAAAAAUAAUGAAAAAGCUUGAAAUAUCACAGGAAUUGCCAAAAUGGGACACAGACAUGAAUGAAGUGAGUAAAUGCUGUUGGAAAAUGGUACCAAUAGACUUUUUUGCCACAAAUCUUCAAAUUGUAAAAAAAGACAGUAUCUGUGAAGCCCCCAGAUGAGGUCUACCUGUAUGCCUCAGUCUUCCGUCUACUGCUUUUCCUGUUAGGCAGGGCAUCACAAAUAUAGUCUAGCAUUUCUUUCCAUCACAGUUCUAUUUAACAGACCACCUGCACUUUCUUAGACAGUGAAAGUGAAAUUGAAAGCCUCUCAGUUGUGUCCGACUCUUUGUGACCCCAUGGUCUAUACAGUCCAUGGAAUUCUCCAGUCCAGAAUACUGGAGCGGGUAGCCUUUCCCUUCUCCAGGGGAUCUUCCCAACCCAGGGAUCAAACCCAAGUCUCCCACAUUGCAGGCAGAUUCUUUACCAGCUGAGCCACCAGGGAAGCCCUUCUUAGACAAUAUUUGAAAAUAAUUACAAAUUACACUCUUUUCUCCCAUGUCUCAUUAGGAGAAGGGCUGCUCACAGGCCCAUUCAUAUUAGGGUUUUUAAUGUGAAUUCACCACUGCCUGAGAACAUCUCAGAACAUCUCAGCGGUGGAGGGCUAUUCAGUCCGCAUAGCCGUAGGGAUGAAGAGACUGGACACUUUUAAUUACUCCUCGGCUACUUUGUCUCAUUGACUUCAAAAACAAAAUUAGCAGUAAUAGGAGACAGUGGUUCCAUGGGUUAAAUUAAUCAACAUGUGCUAAUUAAAGAACCGUUGAGCCUCUGCCAUUCCUGCCUGUUUUAGCCGGUAGAGAGCUCUUAGUCAGUCUUCCCGACUCUGGUCUCUGUACUUUCAAUAUUUUGUCAUUUGAAUUGAAGGGAGACAAUCUCUGGCUUAAAUGGAAGAGAGACAGAGCUAUUCACAUAUAUUGGCCUUCAUGAAGGGAUUUUUUAAAUCAUCUUUUUCUUUUUUUUAACAGUACAUUCCUGUUGGUUAUCUCUUUUAAAUAUAGCAGUAUGUGCAUGUCAGACCCAAACUUGGAAGCGUUUCUCUCUCCUCUUUCCCUUCAGGACAUCCCCCGCAACCCCAUACUGCUGAUACAUUCGGCUUUUUUCACUCUAAACUAUAACUGUUUGCUUAACAACUGAUAAGCCCUAAAGAAACCUGGACUUUUGAUACCAAGCCACUGUUUCUCCAUCUUUCAUGGGUUUUCAGAAUAGCCUAACUUCACCUCUGCUUUCAUGCAGCAUCCAUACCCAAACCCUCUCUGCUGCCCCAGAAGCAUAAGCUGCCUGCUGCUGCUGCUGCUGCUGCUAAGUCACUUCAGUUGUGUCCAACUCUGUGCGACCCCACAGACUCCCCCGUCCCUGGGAUUCUCCAGGCAGGAACACUGGAGUGGGUUGCCAUUUCCUUCUCCAACAGACCAGCCGCCUAGCAUUUCUUUAAAGCGUCAGAAAUUUUUAUUCCUGUACACAAGGCACUGUUUGCUCUGUUGUUCCCACUUGCUUAAAAUAGACUUCAGAAGAUUUUGGUUUUGUUAUCUUUCCUGUAUUUUCUUAUAUUUAAAAAAUGGCGAGUUUAUUGAAGUAUUUGUAAUACAAAAACAGAGAAGAACCUACAUAUUUUUAAAAUAUUAAUUUUAAAAUAUUAAUUUCAUAUUUAUUGUUGCAUAUCCUGACACUUCCAAAAGGUAUUAAGGACAUAUAAAAUAAAACUCAUUGUCUACUGUACCACUGCUAACAUUUGAGAAUGGAUUCUCCCUGCCUUUUUUGUGUAUAUUUUUGGUAGUAUUGUUUAGUCACUCAAUUGUGUCCAACUCUUUGCAACCCAGUGGACAAUAGUCCACCAGGCUCCUCUGUCCAUGGGAUUUUCCCAGGCAGGAAUACUGGAGUGGGUUGCCAUUUCCUUCUCCAGGGGAUCUUCCCAACCCAGGGAUUGAACCCACGUAUCUUGCAUUAGCAGGCAGGUUCUUUAUACUGAGCCACCUGGGAAGCCCAUACAUAUUUUACCUACAAACAAUUGAAUAUAUUAUUGGCACUUUAAGUUUUUGAAACCCAUCUGUGGUUUACUGUCACUCCAAAUAAAAAAUGUUGUCGUCCUCAUUUGGUAGAUGCUGUAUUUUAACAUAAAGAAUAUAAAAUCUGCCAGAAUUAUUUGUCUCAGAUUUAGCUUAUAAACGUGUGUUUGGUUCACAUUUUUGCCUUUUCAUUUUUUCUACUGUCAGCUGUAAAACAUCAGAUCAGGAUUAGCUGCUGUAGUACUGGCUGCACUUUAUUAAGUGCAUGAAGGAAUUUUUCUACUCUCUUCCCAGCGAAGUUUAUUUAGGUAAAAGGUUGAUAACAUUCUUUGCCCCAAAGAAAGUUUUUUUUUCUUUCUUGCCCAUGAAGACAAUUCUUCAAGAGGUUAAACAUGAAGAACCAUUCUCUCUCAUAUAAACAGAUCUAUCCCUCCACUGUGUUAAGCUGGGUUUAUAAAAUACAUAAUCUCACAUACAAAUUAAAAUAGUUCUGUAGUGUGCGUGUAGGGGAUGUGUCUUACUUUGGGUUUGCCGACAUACAAAAGAAUCUAGAAACAUUUGUAUUUUUUGAAAGACUGGGCCUCUGCCAUACUCUGAUAUGCAAAAUCCAUAGUUUAUGCUUGGAUGUAUUUAAAUAAGUUGAGUAACAGGUCUAGGUAAACAAGUUACAUUGAUUACAAGAGUGAAUGUGAGCUUGAGAAUAUUUGUGUUAAUGCCUCAUUUUUUUUCAAGUAAGACCCUGUGCAUUCCUUACAGAGAGGACUAUUUUCCUGAAAGUGAUAAAAAUGCAAACACUCAUCUCUAAUGUUUUAUGUCAUGUCAACUACCUCUUUGAUAGGAUUCUUUGUUUUGGUUAUUUUCCUUACCAGUGAUAAGAUAAGAUCUAAAGGAUGUAUUCUGCAUACUGAUCGAAGCAUUCUGCAGUACUUUUGCCAGAAAAGUCCCUGAAUAUUCCAAGUAAGAAUUAAAGAAAAUUUUGCACGACAUGGCAUAUUUAAAAUAUUUCCACUAUUCAGUGGCCUAGUUUUUGAUGGUCGAAUGCACCAAUAAGUGCUAUUCAUCAUAUUUAUACAAAAAUUAUGUUGUGUGUGUGUAUAUAUAUAUAUAUAUGUAUUCAUUUUGUAGCCUUUCCCAGUUAGCAGUUUAAUGUUUCUUACACAGUUUCUCUCAUGGAAAUGCAAAGAGCAAUUCUGAGUUUGUGGGUAGAAAUCCAGAGCUAGCAAGUUUGUGCUGUCCCCAUGUGUGUCCCUGGUGGCUCAGAUGGUAAAAAAAAAAAUCUGCUGGCAAUGCAGGAGACCCGGGUUCAAUCCCUGGGUCAGGAAGAUCCCCUGGAGCAGGGAAUGAAUACCCACUCCAGUAUUCUUGCCUGGAGAAUCCCAUGGACAGAGGAGCCUGGCAGGCUAUAGUCCAUGGGGUCACAAAAAGUCAGACACAACUGAACAAUAACGCAACUUUCACUUUCAUGGUUUCUAAACCAUGGGCUUGUUGGCCCUCAAAUUUCUCUAGUAAGUUUUAUUUGAAAUUAACCUUGGAGGAGGGGAGCAGACAGGUAGAUGAGAGGAUCCCCAUCAUUCCUGAUCAGACCAUAUACAUCUCAUAUAUGACUCUUGAAAACACUGGACACAGAUACCUACACGUAGAAAGUGCUCUGUAACUAUAGGCCCAUGAGAAUUUUUAACCCCUGACUUCAAGCUACCAAUUCUCCCGCAGCUAACGUCCUUAAGUUUUAUUUAUUUAGUGAUAUUGUGAAGUAAGUUUGGAAAUCGCUGGUGGCUUAUAUAAAAGCAUGGACUGACCUAUCUUAGUUAUGUCAUUAAGCAAUACCUGAAGAGAGAGGUCAGUUCCAAGUUGAGGUUCACGCUCAGCUCAUGCCGUUGCCUGUUGGUUAUUUUUUCCAGAUCAGCAAGACUCUUACCUUGAAGAGUCUUGAGCCCUCCACCUGAGCUCUGUUUCCAGAACUUUCCUCAGCUUUGUUAGUCUGUCCCUCGUUGUUGUUCUUCUCUGUGUAUGAAAACGGUGACCUUGGUUUUGGAAUAAUAUUACACUGUAAAUCAAAUUCUGCCUCAAAAGAACUCUUCCACAGUUUUCUGCAUUCCUGAACAGGUUACAAAAUGUCACAAUUCAGUAAGGCCAAUUAUUAGAUUUUCAUUUAAUGGGCAGUUUUAAUGUUCUCAGAGAAUCUGAAUAGUAAUAGCAUUUUAAACUACUGCAUUCCAUUUAAAGACUCACAACGAGUUCUUCUCUCUUUGAGUGUACCUUGUUAUAUUUUUGGGUAUCAUUUAAAUUCAGGCUCCCAAUCUGUAGGAAAAAUCAAUGAGUUAAUGAAUAACCUCAUUUUUAAAACUUUUCAAAUAUUUUAUCCUAAUUAUAAGGCAUAUCUAGUGACAUUAAUUUGAUGAAAUCCCAAAUCAUCAGAUUGUGCAGAAUAGCCCUUACCAAGGAUUAAUUUAGAGCAUUUUCAGUUUAACAAAUGUACUAGUUUUUAGGACCAGAUCAUGGCUUUGCUUACUGUGAGAAAAACUUCCUACUGUUAAGGUUUGAGGUCCAUGUCGGUAUAGGUCAAACUUUGUGUUUUUUUUAAUCUCAUAGUUAUGUUUGUUUACCAUGUUUUAUUUAACCUGUUAAAUGAGAAGCUUUCCUGCUAUAAAUAAUAAUCACCCCUGAUGUAUAGAGCAAAUUCUUCUUGGUAAAUCGCUCCCACGUGCACCGUCCACCAGUUUGGUGAGCUUCAAGGUUAUUCUCGGGCCCUACAGUGAGUAAACAGCCAAGCCAAGUCCAAGACCAGUGACCGUCCACACACAACUGGUGUGCUUCAUGUAAACCACAUCAUAUCCUGUGGGGAAUAAGCCAGCAAAUGAUGGCUGUUUAAGUCAGUUAUUCUCUGCCGUGUUGUUCGCGGCUCAUAGGCUGUUCUCUGGGACAGCAACAGAAAAUGCAUUCUCUGUAGAGAUCGAGCCUACAGUUUGUGAGAAACCCACACAGUAGGCGUCAUCUCAGUCCUUCCUACUAUCCAGAUGCCUAUGUGGUUCUCUGUUUUAAUCCUUGUCCCUCUUUAUCCUCAUCAAUUCUGUGUCCUUUCUCCAGCUGAAGAUAUUUCUGAUAUUUACUCUUAAGGAAGUAGAAAUCACUUAUAAGCCUCAGUUGGUCAAUCCUCCCAGCUGCCCGGUAAGAUAAGUCUAGAGUAGGUAACACAAGCCCCUCACUACUCCUUCAACAUUUGGAUGAGUCACCGAGUUACUAACCAAACCUAAAUCUCCUAGUUCCCAGGCUGCUUCUCUGUUCUUGACCUACCAUCAGCCAGAAAGUUGUGGGUAUUAUGUUAUAUUCAGCUGGUCAGUCAGUAACUUAAAUGUAUUCUUGCAUAUUUCCUUGGAUGGGACCAAUACAGAAGCAACAUGUAUCUUUGGUAAAAGCUCACAGACUGUGGAGUUACAAAAAUCAAAGUCUUCCUGGAAAUGUUCAUCUUCUUAAUAAUUCAUCUGCUAGACCCACAAGAGGACUCAAUAUCUGUGGACUAAAUUAUAUAAAUCCAGCCAAAGGUAAUAAUCCAAAGGGGAAGAAAGGAAAAAGAAUAAAUGGGGGGAGAGGAGAAACUAAGUAGAGAGGCACUUCCCCUCCUAAAGAAGCUGUGCUUCGUGCAACACUUGGCCGGUAAAGAAAAUCUGGCAUCAGGACAGACUUGCCCCACCCCAGGUUUCCACUCAUAUUUCACUUCCACCCCUCUACUGCCCCAAACAUGAACCAGUUUGCUUCUGCUGCUAACGGAGGCUGGUGUCGGGUCAGGGCAUUGUGACUGCAUAGCAUCUCAUUGUGCUGCAUACAGAUUUAAUGGAUUCAGACCAUCAGGAUGUGCUCUCCUGUUGUGGUUUUUAAAUUUGGAGUGACAGAUGUUGACCACCUGUAAACUUCAGUGGAGCAAAAGGUGCUUCUAAGGUGAAGAGGCCUCUACAACCAGGCCCAGAUUGCAAGAUGAGGAAACUGAGGCUUAGCAAAGUUCAGUCACUUGCUCAAAGUCAUACAACUAUCAAGUCUCAGCCAGGAUUGCAGCCAGUCACGUCCAUCAGCCUUACGAGCUCAGCUCUCCUUGUCAGAAACCUGAUACCAGCUGGGUUCUCAUCCUGCAGUCAGCCUCCAAAGAACCCAAGUAACUACAUGUGGUCAAAGUGAAACCUCUGUUUACAGAUCAGACUAUGCUUUUGUUAGUAUGUUUCAUUUAGAGUAUCAGUGAUAUUUUCAGUGAUAAGCUAAGAGUUUUAAGAAAAUACCUAAGCCUAUUUACCAGCUCCUUUCACCUUAAAUGGGGGGCAAAUGCUACAGUAGCCGUGAACAACUCAUGUUCAUAUGCCAAAGUUGGCAUAUGAAGUGAUUUCCCAAGAGGUUGCUACCAUAAGAGCAGAGGCAAAAAUGGCAGAAAAAGUCUUUGGCGCUCUCCACGUCCCUUGGUGCCCAACUCUUUCCCUCCAUUCCUCCCACCCCAGCACUUUUGGUCACUUCUGAUGGUCUGAUUCUCCUGAUUGUGACCCCACCUGGUGCAAUCUGUCCCAUAAAUGUAAUCCCCAGUGAAAACGGCCCAUGAGAGACAGUCUCCUGGAAGAGCACUCUGAGGAAGGGAAGUCACACAAGACUUCAUCUUGGGACAUGACCAAGUUUUAUAGGAGUAGAAAUGGAAACUGUUAAUACUGUGAUUUUUUGUUGUUGUUACACGGGUGGCAUGUGGACUCCCAGAUCCCCGACCAGGGAUCAAACCUAUGCCCCCUGCAUUGGGAACAUGGAGUUUUAACCACUAGACCACUAGUGACAGUUAAUAUUAUUACUAUUAAUAAUAAUAGUUAUUAUUACUCUGGACUUCUACCUCUGCUUCGACAGCCCCCUGUUUUUCAUGCUCUGUUGGAUCUCUGACCAAAUUCCUCGUCAUUCUGUGUCUUUCCCCUGCUUCACUUGUCUUCAUAGAACAUAGCACUGCCUGGAAUUGCAUUAUAUACUUCUUGGUUUAUUAGCAUCUCUUUACAUCUAUAGGAAGUAAGCUCCAUGAGAGCAGGAACGUUGCUUUGCUUGCUGCUGUAAGCCUAGCAUCUGCAAGAGGGUUUGGCACAUAGUAGCUGCUGAAUAAAUAUGUAU